CGACGACAACUACGCUCUGGCCGCUUAAGGCCUAGCCCCGAACCCACUUGUGCUCGUGCUCGUCGGUGUAGGGUCAUUAUCACGGGAUCGCCGAAGACUGCCGCCUGGCGGUACUAGGUCAAAUCAAUCAGGCUGGUUCCGCGGUGCGCCUCGCCCAUCGUGCUUGUCGCGGAACGAGAUCGAACGAUGAGCUAAGCAUGUAGAUCCGGGCGUUGAACGCCUUCGGACGCGGGUUCGACUCCCGCCACCUCCACCA
rnacentral:tmRNA from 1 species